UGGCAAAGGAAGCAGUUGCUCACAGAGGCAAUUAGCCACACAUUCCAUAUCCUCCUUCUAUUCCUGACUCUGCUUCUUCCUCUGUUUCUUCAGGCGAAUAGAUUCCAAUUUUUGUACCUUGGAUGACUGCUUGCAAGCUUUUAAGACCACAGGCACUAUGCAACAAACUAGGAGGUAGAACAGAAGCACGAAACACAUUAUUAGGCCCAUUAACUGGGAUGUCCCAUGAAACCAUGACCCUAAACCUCCAAACCAAGGAACUAAAUCCCAUGAGGUGUUUGGCUGUACACAGCAGCCUCAGCAGUUUUUUUUUUUUUUUUUGUCAUAAAUAUGCCUAUCACACAACUUUUGCCAAUUCAACUUUUUACAAUUGUACAGCUUAUUGACAGCAAUUACAUUAAUUGGCUGUGCAACCCUUUUUACCCUUAAUCAAUGUGAUUUUCCAUCACUGUAAACCAAAAACUCAGUACCCCAUAAGCACAAACUCCCCCUUUUCCCCUCCUUCCCACCCCUAAUAACCACUAAGAAUUUUGGUCUCUAUACAUUUGCCUGUUGUUGUCUUUUUACAUAAGUGAGGUUGCACAGUAUUUGUCAUUUUGUGAUUGACUUAUUUCACUCAGCAUGUCUUCAAGCUCCAUCAAUAUUGUAGUAUGUAUCAAGACUUCGUUUCUCUUACUGGCUGAGUUGUAUUCCAUUGUAUAUUGUAUUUAUGUACCACAUUUCAUUUAUCCAUUCACCUGCUGAUGGGCAUUUAGGUUGUUUCCACCUUUUGGCUAUUGUGGAUAGUGUUGCAAUAUACUUUGGAAUACUAGUUUCUGAGUCUUUGCUUUCCAAUUUUUUAGGUAUAUACCUAGGACUGGAAUUGCUGGGUCAUAUAGUAGUUCUAUUUUUAGUUUUUUGAGGAAUCGUCACACUGUUUUCCAUAAUGGCUGUACUAUUUUGCAUUUCUACCAGCAAUGGAUAAGGGUUCCAAUUUCCCCACGUCCUCACCAACAUUUGUUAUUUUCAGUUUGUUCAUUUGUUUUGUUUUAUCUUAGCAAUCCUACUAGGAGUGAAAUGGUAUCUUGAAGUUUUGAUUUGCCAUCUCUCUGAUGGCUAAGGACGUUGAGCAUCUUUUCAUGGGUUUGGUGCCAUUCUGAAUGCCCUGUUUGGUGAAAUGUCUAUUCAAGUCCUUUGCCUAUUUUAAGAUUGAGUUAUUUGGUUUUUUUGGUUGUUGUUGUUAAGUUGUCGGAGUUUUAUAUAUAUUUCGGUUAUUAGAUUCUUAGUGCAUAUAUGAUUUCCAAGUUGGUUGCUUGUUUUUUCACUUUAUUGGUAAAGUUUUUUGAUGAACAAAAGUUUUUAACUUUUUAAAAACAUUUUAUUGUGGUUUGGGUGAAAGGUUACAGGGUAAAUUUGUUUCCCAUUCAACAAUUUAUACACAUCUUGUUUCGUAACAUUAGUUACAAUUCCCUCAGUGUGACAGCACUCUACCCACUUCCUUCCUGAGCUUCCUGUUUCCAUUCACCCAUCUUUCCUGCCCCUUCCUGUCUUCUGAACUUUGUUUUUCGGCAAAUGCUUCCCUUUUGGUUUUGUAUGGUUGAUUGUUCUGAGGAGCACGUUCCUCACUUUAUAUGCCUGUCUAUCGUUUGGCUGAAAGGUGAUCUCGGGAGUAGGUUCAGUUCCAGAUUUGAAGGGUGUCUAAGAGCCACAGUCUCAGGGAUUUCACCAGUCUCUAUCAGACCAAUUCCCUGGGUCAGGAAUUCAGAAGCAGUUAGCUGAGUGAUUCCUGCUUGGAGUCUCUCAUGAAGUUGCUGUCAAGAUACUGGCCAAAGCUGCUUCCAUCUGAAGACUUAAGGGGCGCUGGAGGAUCACCCUCAAGGGAGCCUCAGUCAUAUGGAUAGGGCCCUCUCCGAGAAGUGGCGUUUGCGCUGAGGACGUGAACACGGUGGUGGCGAGAGGACCCCCUCGUAUCCUUGGCGACCUCCCUUCCCCAGGGACACUCUUCUGGAGGCCCCUGAACUGCGGUCUGGGGAUGAUCAGACACUAGGGCCCACAGGGCCGCAUGAGGAGGGCGUGCAGGCUAAGGAAAACUCUGCACGCAUGGGGUUACAUUGAGUCACCAUGAGUUGGAUCCACUUGACGGCAAACAACAACAGUUCCAGAAGUGUGGAAAAUGGGAUGAAAAGAAAGUUGAUGAUGGAGACCAGUGAAGAGUCUUGUGCAAAUAAUCCAGGGGGAAAAAGGAUAAGGACCUGAACUAAGACAGCUGUCAAUGAAGACAGCCUGCUUUGUGAGAAUUCUGAGGUAAAAUUGACAAAGUUGUUGAAUGAGGCAGAUGAGAAAGAGAAGGUUUGAAAUGACUCCUACGUUUAUAGCUUGGAAGACAAGUUGUAUGGUCUCUUCAUAAUAACUGAAAUAGAAUAUAAGAAGACAACUGGUUUCGGGUAUAUACAGGCAGUUUCUAGAGUUCUGUUUAUGAUGAUCUCAGCUUGGGAAAAAAGAGAAGUACACAUUAUAUUAAAUUUGCUGAGGUGUAGACAAAGUGAAGAGCCCUGGUGGCGCAGCGGUUAAGAGCUCAGCUGCUAACCAAAAGGUCAUAAGUUCAAAUCCAUCAGCUGUUCCUUGGAAACCCCAUGGGGCAAUUCUGCUAUGUCCAGUAAGGUUGCUAUGAGUCGGAAUCGACCUGAAAACAAUGCAUUUGGUUUUUUUUUGUUGUUGUUGUUUAGACAUAAUGAGAACAUUAAUUUAGAAUACACAGGGAAUUAAAGACAACUACAGAUCCUAUAGUUUCUGGGUACAGAUCAUGAGGUUUACUCAGAAAAAAAGGUUUUUUGAGAACUAGUAAAAAUUUGUCUUCUUAAGUAAGAUGAAGUUGAAUGAAUAACAAUUAGGUCUUUGCUUCUUCAAGAGGGUUUUGGAAUUAAACGAGCCUAGGUCAAAGAAAUCUAACACUUCUGACACCUUCCUCCACUUCCACCCUCUGCAAAAACUCAGCAGUAGGGUUAGGCCUUGGGGUUACCAAUACUACAACAACCAUUUGCAAGGGGAGAUUUCCUAGAUAAUGAAUAUAUCUUGCCCUAGAAUCAGGCAUGGGAACAUGCUGGGAGGGGAGAGAGAGAGAAUUAUUGCUAUCACUUCUUUGUUCCCCAUACUUAAUCAUUAGGUUUAUUUACUUGCAUUUUUAGGUGCCUGGUGUUGGGAGAUCAAUUUUGUCAGAACAUGUAUGGGGUUGGGGGUUAGUUAGGGAGAGCUGUCUUUAGUUCUUCUGAGGUAUCUGGAACAGGAGGAAAUGGGGAAGCAGUUCUGGACAUGUUGAAAAGAACUUUCAUGUGCAGAUUGUCUACUGGGUAGCUAGAACCUGGAACUAUCUAUUUUAACUAUUGGCUUAGAAAUAGUUGUUGAGUGCCUUGAGGAAUGGACAGGAUCUCCUAAGGGAAACACGAAGAAUGAGAAAUUUGGAAAGUGGAACACAGUUGGAAUCACUGCUGAUCCUGAUAGUUAAAAGGUACACUAAACAAGCCAUAUUGCCGUUGAAUCAAUUCCAACUCAUAGAGACCUUAACAAGACAGAGUAGAACUGUCCCAUAGGGUUUCCAAAGUUGUAAAUCUUUAUAGAAACAGACUGCCACAUCUUUCUGCCACAGAGCUGCUGGUGGGUCCAAACUGCUGACCUUUUGGUUAGCAGCUGAGUGAUUCACUACUCUGCCACUAGGACUUCUUCACCAAACAAGAGGAGUCUGAAAAGGAGACUAAAAUCAAACAUUCAGAGACGUAGGAGUGAUUAUGUUUAUUCUUUAAAAAAAAAAAUGCACACAAAAUCUCUUAAAAAGAUGCCUCUGUUUUAUGAUAGCUGGACAAUUUCUUUCCUUUUUUAAAAAAUUUUUAUUUUUAUUGUGCUUUAAGUGAAAGUUUACAAAUCAAGUCAGUCUGUCAUACAAAAAUUUAUAUAUGCUUUGCUAUGUAGUCUUAGCUGCUCUCCCCCUAAUGAGACAAUACACUCCUUCUCUCCACCCUGCAUUCCCCGUGUCCAUUCAGCCAGCUUCUGUCCCCUCGGCCUUCUCAUCUCACCUCUAGACAGGAGCCGCCCACAUAGUCUCAUGUGUCUGCUUGAGCCAAAAAGCUCACUCCUCACCAGUAUCGUUUUAUAUCUUAUAGUCCAGUCCAAUUCCUGUCUGAAGAGCUGGCUUUGGGAAUGGUUCCAGUCCUGGGCUAACAGAAGGUCUGGGGACCAUGAUUUCCAGAGUCCUUCUAGUCUCAGUCAGACCAUAAGUCUAGUCUUUUUACAAGAAUCUGAGGU